rnacentral:tRNA from 1 species
GCCGGAGUGGCGGAAUUGGCAGACGCGCACGGUUCAGGUCCGUGUGGGGGCGACCCCGUGAAGGUUCAAGUCCUUUCUCCGGCACCA